CCAUGGGCGAAGCCUGAUGCAGCGACGCCGCGUGCGGGAUGACGGCCUUCGGGUUGUAAACCGCUUUCAGCAGGGAAGAAGCGAAAGUGACGGUACCUGCAGAAGAAGCGCCGGCUAACUACGUGCCAGCAGCCGCGGUAAUACGUAGGGCGCGAGCGUUAUCCGGAAUUAUUGGGCGUAAAGAGCUCGUAGGCGGUUUGUCACGUCUGCUGUGAAAGCCCGAGGCUCAACCUCGGGUGUGCAGUGGGUACGGGCAGACUAGAGUGCAGUAGGGGAGACUGGAAUUCCUGGUGUAGCGGUGAAAUGCGCAGAUAUCAGGAGGAACACCGAUGGCGAAGGCAGGUCUCUGGGCUGUUACUGACGCUGAGGAGCGAAAGCAUGGGGAGCGAACAGGAUUAGAUACCCUGGUAGUCCAUGCCGUAAACGUUGGGCACUAGGUGUGGGGGACAUUCCACGUUUUCCGCGCCGUAGCUAACGCAUUAAGUGCCCCGCCUGGGGAGUACGGCCGCAAGGCUAAAACUCAAAGGAAUUGACGGGGGCCCGCACAAGCGGCGGAGCAUGCGGAUUAAUUCGAUGCAACGCGAAGAACCUUACCAAGGCUUGACAUGGACCGGAUCGCUGCAGAGAUGCAGUUUCCCUUCGGGGUCGGUUCACAGGUGGUGCAUGGUUGUCGUCAGCUCGUGUCGUGAGAUGUUGGGUUAAGUCCCGCAACGAGCGCAACCCCUAUCCUAUGUUGCCAGCACGUGAUGGUGGGGACUCAUGGGAGACUGCCGGGGUCAACUCGGAGGAAAGGUGGGGACGACGUCAAAUCAUCAUGCCCCUUAUGUCUUGGGCUUCAC
rnacentral:rRNA from 1 species